GCUCUGAAGUUGCGGAGGGAAUUUCAAAAUGAAAAUCAUCUCCAGAUGCCUGAUGGUAAGAUCCAUACCCAAACUUUGUCAGUCUUUCUCUGCAUGAUAAAGUUCUUCACCACAGAAAGAGGGAGGACAACUUGUGAAACAAACAUAUCAAAGGAGGCAUCCUACAGAACGAGAGGGAGGAAUGUUUGCCUAACAGAAAAAGGAUCAGGUUGGUAAAAGCCAGGAAAAGGGAAGAACAGUAAUAUCACUGCUACUGAACGUACAGCAUCAGCAUUGAAAACUUCAGUUCUGUGGUUUUAUGAAAAUCAAACAGCAGGAUAAACAGCUGCUGUGGGUGAAUGGUCAGCUACUCUGAAAAUCAUACAGCUAAGCUUCUGCUACAUCGGCUCACUAAUACAGAACCAUUCACAAUCAAUACCUACCUGAAAUUAACAAAAGCUGAAAAUACGUGUAAGUUAAGAAAUCAAACAUUUCUGCCAAAAUACUUCUAAGUGAAGAGUAGCUGAAGGCAUAAAUAUCAUUUACUGUCAG